rnacentral:rRNA from 1 species
UAUACGUUGCCUCGGCGGAUCAGCCCGCGCCCCGUAAAACGGGACGGCCCGCCCGAGGACCCCUAAACUCUGUUUUUAGUGGAACUUCUGAGUAAAACAAACAAAUAAAUCAAAACUUUCAACAACGGAUCUCUUGGUUCUGGCAUCGAUGAAGAACGCAGCAAAAUGCGAUAAGUAAUGUGAAUUGCAGAAUUCAGUGAAUCAUCGAAUCUUUGAACGCACAUUGCGCCCGCCAGUAUUCUGGCGGGCAUGCCUGUUCGAGCGUCAUUUCAACCCUCAAGCUCAGCUUGGUGUUGGGACUCGCGGUAACCCGCGUUCCCCAAAUCGAUUGGCGGUCACGUCGAGCUUCCAUAGCGUAGUAAUCAUACACCUCGUUACUGGUAAUCGUCGCGGCCACGCCGUAAAACCCCAACUUCUGAAUGUUGACCUCGGAUCAGGUAGGAAUACCCGCUGAACUUAAGCAUAUCAAU